rnacentral:lncRNA from 1 species
CGACAGCAGAGCGGGUGCUGAAAAUAUCCUGCAGGAGUCUUGUCUCACGAUGUAAUUGAGCUACGAGUAGACUCAGUAGAACCUUGGCAGUGCUGAGAAACAGCAGAAAGAAGGCCAAGCUUCUCCUAACACUCCUCUGAAGACAGAGGACCUGACUCUCCUGAACUGUUCUGGCCCAUCCUUCCCAAGGGCGCGUGUGUUUCUUCAGUGCAGUCACAGACAGAGCUCAUAGGUCCAAUGCUCAAAGGCCAAAGGCCAUGCAAGUGGUGAGAUGACAUGCGUCCACUGCGGCAGUAAAAACACCCAUGGGUAAAAAUUCUUGCUGUGUGUGACCUGAGGCGAGGCACCGGCUCUUUGUUUUUACUGGGUGAGCUUGCGUUUUGUUUUUGUAAACAUACAGAGUCUUGAUGCCAUGCUAGACAGGGUCUUUGUAUAUGAUGUAUUUGUUCCAGUUGAAACAGAAAAACAAAACCAAACAUAAAACGGAAAAGCAC